AUUGAACGCUGGCGGCAUGCCUUACACAUGCAAGUCGAAUGGUAACAGGUCUUCGGAUGCUGACGAGUGGCGAACGGGUGAGUAAUACAUCGGAACGUGCCUAGUAGUGGGGGAUAACUACUCGAAAGAGUGGCUAAUACCGCAUGAGAUCUACGGAUGAAAGCAGGGGAUCGCAAGACCUUGUGCUACUAGAGCGGCCGAUGGCAGAUUAGGUAGUUGGUGGGAUAAAAGCUUACCAAGCCGACGAUCUGUAGCUGGUCUGAGAGGACGAUCAGCCACACUGGGACUGAGACACGGCCCAGACUCCUACGGGAGGCAGCAGUGGGGAAUUUUGGACAAUGGGCGCAAGCCUGAUCCAGCAAUGCCGCGUGCAGGAUGAAGGCCUUCGGGUUGUAAACUGCUUUUGUACGGAACGAAAAGCCCCGGGUUAAUACCCUGGGGUCAUGACGGUACCGUAAGAAUAAGCACCGGUUAACUACGUGCCAGCAGCCGCCGCCG
rnacentral:rRNA from 1 species